rnacentral:rRNA from 1 species
AUUGAACGCUGGCGGCAUGCCUUACACAUGCAAGUCGAACGGCAGCACGGGGGCAACCCUGGUGGCGAGUGGCGAACGGGUGAGUAAUACAUCGGAACGUGCCCUGAAGUGGGGGAUAACGUAGCGAAAGUUACGCUAAUACCGCAUAUUCUGUGAGCAGGAAAGCAGGGGAUCGCAAGACCUUGUGCUUUAGGAGCGGCCGAUGUCGGAUUAGCUAGUUGGUGAGGUAAAGGCUCACCAAGGCGACGAUCCGUAGCGGGUCUGAGAGGAUGAUCCGCCACACUGGGACUGAGACACGGCCCAGACUCCUACGGGAGGCAGCAGUGGGGGAAUUUUGGACAAUGGGCGCAAGCCUGAUCCAGCCAUGCCGCGUGAGUGAAGAA